UGCAUGGCUGUCGUCAGCUCGUGUCGUGAGAUGUUGGGUUAAGUCCCGCAACGAGCGCAACCCUCAUCUUGUGUUGCCAGCACUUCGGGUGGGAACUCACAAGAUACUGCCUGUGGAAAGCAGGAGGAAGGUGAGGACGACGUCAAGUCAUCAUGCCCCUUACGUCCUGGGCUACACACAUGCUACAAUGGCCGGUACAAAGGGCUGCAAAACCGCAAGGUCAAGCGAAUCUCAUAAAACCGGUCUCAGUUCGGAUUGUAGUCUGCAACUCGACUACAUGAAGUUGGAAUUGCUAGUAAACGCAGAUCAGCUACGCUGCGUUGAAUACGUUCCCGGGCCUUGUACACACCGCCCGUCACACCAUGAGAGUCGGAAACACCCAAAGCCAAUGUGCUAACCUUCGGGAAGCAGUUGUCUAAGGUGGAGCUGGCGAUUGGGGUGAAGUCGUAACAAGGUAGCCGUACCGGAAGGUGUGGCUGGAUCACCUCCUUUUUAAGGAG
rnacentral:rRNA from 1 species